rnacentral:rRNA from 1 species
GACGUAGGGCGCGAGCGUUUGUCCGGAUUUAUUGGGCGUAAAGAGCUCGUAGGCGGCUUGUUGCGUCAGCUGUGAAAACCCGCAGCUCAACUGUGGGCUUGCAGCUGAUACGGGCAGGCUUGAGUUCGGUAGGGAAGACUGGAAUUCCUGGUGUAGCGGUGAAAUGCGCAGAUAUCAGGAGGAACACCAAUGGCGAAGGCAGCUCGCUGGAACGGUACUGACGCUGAGGCGCGAAAGCGUGGGGAGCGAACAGG